CUCGUAGGCGGUUCGUCGCGUCCGGUGUGAAGGUCCAUCGCUUAACGGUGGAUCCGCGCCGGGUACGGGCGGGCUUGAGUGCGGUAGGGGAGACUGGAAUUCCCGGUGUAACGGUGGAAUGUGUAGAUAUCGGGAAGAACGCCAAUGGCGAAGGCAGGUCUCUGGGCCGUCACUGACGCUGAGAAGCGAAAGCGUGGGGAGCGAACA
rnacentral:rRNA from 1 species